GCUGUGUGAGGCUGCCUCUGCCACGCUGCCAGCUCCCUGACACGCGGUGGGGGAGCCAACCUUGGAGCGCCGAGCCGGC
rnacentral:snoRNA from 1 species